CCAGUGUGAUGGUUAUUGGUGGGAUAACCCUUUCACUCCCAGUGUGAUGGUUAUUGGUGGGAUAACCCUUUCACUCCCAGUGUGAUGGUUAUUGGUGGGAUAACCCUUUCACUCCCAGUGUGAUGGUUAUUGGUGGGUUAACCCUUUCACUCCCAGUGUGAUGGUUAUUGGUGGGAUAACCCUUUCACUCCCAGUGUGAUGGUUAUUGGUGGGAUAACCCUUUCACUCCCAGUGUGAUGGUUAUUGGUGGGAUAACCCUUUCACUCCCAGUGUGAUGGUUAUUGGUGGGUUAACCCUUUCACUCCCAGUGUGAUGGUUAUUGGUGGGAUAACCCUUUCACUCCCAGUGUGAUGGUUAUUGGUGGGAUAACCCUUUCACUCCCAGUGUGAUGGUUAUUGGUGGGAUAACCCUUUCACUCCCAGUGUGAUGGUUAUUGGUGGGAUAACCCUUUCACUCCCAGUGUGAUGGUUAUUGAUGGGAUAACCCUUUCACUCCCAGUGUGAUGGUUAUUGAUGGGAUAACCCUUUCACUCCCAGUGUGAUGGUUAUUGAUGGGAUAACCCUUUCACUCCCAGUGUGAUGGUUAUUGAUGGGAUAACCCUUUCAUUCCCAGUGUGAUGGUUAUUGAUGGGAUAACCCUUUCAUUCCCAGUGUGAUGGUUAUUGAUGGGAUAACCCUUUCAUUCCCAGUGUGAUGGUUAUUGAUGGG